rnacentral:tRNA from 1 species
CAUGUAGCUCAGAGGUAGAGCGCGUCCUUGGUAAGGACGAGGUCGCGGGUUCAAUUCCCGCCAUG